rnacentral:rRNA from 1 species
UUCGUAGGUGACAAGCGUUGUCCGGAUUUACUGGGCGUAAAGAGCGCGCAGGCGGUCGUUCAAGUCGAGUGUGAAAGCCCCCGGCUCAACUGGGGAAGGUCAUUCGAUACUGAUCGACUCGAAGGCAGGAGAGGGUAGUGGAAUUCCCGGUGUAGUGGUGAAAUGCGUAGAUAUCGGGAGGAACACCAGUGGCGAAGGCGACUACCUGGCCUGUUCUUGACGCUGAGGCGCGAAAGCGUGGGGAGCAAACAGG